CACGUAGGGGGGCGAGCGUUGUCCGGAUUUAUUGGGCGUAAAGAGCUCGUAGGCGGCUCAGUAAGUCGGGUGUGAAAACUCCAGGCUCAACCUGGAGACGCCACCUGAUACUGCUGUGGCUAGAGUCCGGUAGGGGAGCAUGGAAUUCCUGGUGUAGCGGUGAAGUGCGCAGAUAUCAGGAGGAACACCAGUGGCGAAGGCGGUGCUCUGGGCCGGAACUGACGCUGAGGAGCGAAAGCGUGGGGAGCAAACAGG
rnacentral:rRNA from 1 species